UACCAAGUUAGUGAUCAUGUCAUAAAGUU
rnacentral:piRNA from 1 species